rnacentral:rRNA from 1 species
GACAGAGGUGCCGAGCGUUAUCCGGAAUCACUGGGCUUAAAGCGUGUGUAGGCGGACUUCUAAGUACCUUGUGAAAUCCCACGGCUCAACCGUGGAACUGCUUGGUAUACUGGUUGUCUUGAGCCACUUAGGGGCAGUCGGAACAGACGGUGGAGCGGUGAAAUGUGUAGAGAUCGGGAGGAACACCGGUGGCGAAGGCGGGUCUCUGGGCAAUUCCUGACGCUGAGGCGCGAAAGCGUGGGGAGCAAACGGG